CUUCAGUGCACAGGCUGUGUGUAUAAACCACUUUAUACAUUAUACUGCCUGUUGACAUUUUUAUGGAGUGUGAUUUGAACAUAUGUAGAUCUAAUUAGGGGUGGAUUUAAGGUGAUAAUUAUUGCAUAGUUGAAAAUCCAAAGUGGCAAAUUGACUCUUGUGCACAUUUUUUCACGUGUCAUAUUUGCAUGUGCAUUUCCAAAUUUUCACGAGUCAAAACCCGAAUCCCCGCGUCAAUAGAGAGUCCUGAAUUAAAGUAGGCUGACGGAUAUUAACGAUGAUAACUUAGUCUUUACUUAACCAGCGAACCUUUACGAUUAUACUCGAGCAAUAUCCGUAUAUUUACGCUAACCAAGACGAGCAUAAUUUCAUGACGUAUUGGAUACGUAUACUGAUGACGUAGCAACACAAUUGUUUUGGAAACUACUGUAGCAUUGUAUGAAAUUCAAGCGCUUGUUGGGCUUAAAAUAAUAGAUUUUUGAAAUAAAAUUCAACGAUAUAAUUGAAAUUAUUCAGUCAUUGUAUUGACGGCAAAAACAACAGAAGUACACGAAAUUUUGCGAAUCAAGCACAUGUUACUGACGUAGUACACAUGUUUAUUACGUAGAACAUAGGUUUAUUGUGCGCGCAAUAUUCAAAGACGGCAGACACUUCGUCUCUUAUCAACAGUGAACUGAUAUCGUCUCCCCAAUAAAGACAUACAACGAGGAAGGUGAAAUAGCUCAAGCAAAUUAUCAGAAGAUCGAAGACCUUCAAAGCUGCAAUCGGUGAAAUUCACUAUAAGAAUUGGUACCACAAGGCCACAAAGGGAGGAGUUCAACUUACUCGUGGAUGAUGUUCAAAGCUGAGGAGAGUGAGAGCUUAAAUCUAUAAAACGGGUCAAAAACUUUUGAUAUAGAAACUGUCAUAAAUUCUUCAGUUAAUUGAAAGAGGGCAAGUUGUACAAAAUGCCAUGGAGCUAAAUAUACAUGGAGAAGAAACUGUGAUGUCACACAGUUAAAUUCAGUAUUGUGUUCAGAAUUGUGGCAGAAUUGUGUUCUUAUAAGUUAUCAUAUGUCGGGGAUUUUCAGAGAUUUGAUGCAUCCUGGGUAAAAAUAGCCAAAACACCGUCAUAUUGAAUUCCCGAGGAAGAUGAAACAUUUUUUUGCUUAAAUAAGAAGCAAUAGUUAUUUAUUGUAAAAGGUACUAUACACACUUUUCUAUACAAAUAUUUCUCUGAUGAAAAUCUAUGUAGGGGUAUGUUAACAAUAAUUCAUGGAUAUCGUCUAAGUUUAACGAGAAUGCGAAAAUUGGAGACUAUCGGGAAAACCCAAUUAUCACCGAAGCCUGCAAAGGAUUGUGGGUCUGAAUCUGACUAUUAUCUAUUUUUAGAGCUUCCUAUCUGUUGUGUGUAUAUAUCUGUGAAAAUGCAAAGAAGUCGUUGGAUUACCAAAGAUCAACAUUUCAUUUGAUUACCAGAGAUCAUCAAUUCACUGGAUUGCAAUAUAACGUAAAUGAUGUACACUAGACAGCUAGGCCUUUAGAAUAUAAAAGAUAUCACCAUCAAAGAAGAAAUAAAAUAACUUUUUUAAAAUGUUAUCCAAUCUUUUAAUGCUUUUAAAAUGUAAGCACUAUUUGGUGUAACGUCUUGUAGGCGUUACAAGAAUUAUAUGGUGUUUUUCAACAUUUUGACCAUUUUAGAAGAGAAAUACUAUGAUUUCUUUUUCGUUUUUGUUCAUAACAAUGUCAUUGGAUAAGAUUUUUGUACUUAACAUUUUUGCUCAUUACAAACGCAUAUAUGGCCUUUAAUCUCAAAGUUCAAAAGAUCCAGAGGCUUAUUGUGAGAUUUUUGACAGUUCAAUAUGUCUGUUGUUCGUCUUAACAAUUUCUAAUGUUAAAUACAUUAAAAAGUGUCCAAAACUAUAAGUCCACACAGUAAUCAAAUUGGUUGCCUAAUGAAACUAAAAGGGCAAUGCUUUUGAGUUCAUGAAAAGUUAGGGGAUUUGGUGAUUUGUAAGAAAUCUAUGUACAUACAUAUGUGUCAAUGUAAUAGAAAUUCCAUGUACAUGUACAUUUAUUUUCAGAUGUGAACAGUUGUUAACAGUAUUAUAUUAGCUCAAAUAAAUGCAACAGUUUUUUGAAA